GGUACAAGGCAGUGGAUUGUGAAUCCACCAUGCGCG
rnacentral:tRNA from 1 species